rnacentral:lncRNA from 1 species
AAUGGCUUUGGUACAGAAGGGCAGCAAAAAGGGCUGUUAUGCCAUCAACAAGGUGGUGACCUGAGAAUAUACCACCAACAUUCAUAAGUGCAUCCAUGAAGUGGGUUUCAAGAAAUGUGCUGACCAUGCACUAAAAGAAAUUUCAAAAUUUUGCUAUGAAAACGAAGGGGGCUCCAGGUGAGUGCACUGAUAUGAAGCUCAAUCAAGCUGACUAAACCAAAAGUAUAAGCAAUGUCCCAUACCACAUCCAUGUGCAGUUGUCCAGAAAAUGUAAUGAGGAAGAGUCACCAAUGAAGCUGUAUGUUAUUUAUAUACCUGCCACCACUUUAAAAAAUCUACACAGCAUGAAUGAGAACUA